GUUUUGGAGCGAGAAGAUCUCAUGCAGUCAUUCUCCAAUGGGAAGCACCUUCUGUGGUCUGAAAGCAAGCAGAGGGCCUCCUUUUGGAGCAUUACUGUUUGAGAGAAACCACGUUGAAGUUGA
rnacentral:pre_miRNA from 8 species